rnacentral:rRNA from 1 species
CGACCGCUGGCGGCGUGCCUAAUACAUGCAAAUUGAGCGAUGAAGAUUGGUGCUUGCACCACUUUGAAGAGCAGCGAACGGGUGAGUAACGCGUGGGGAAUCUGCCUUUGAGCGGGGGACAACAUUUGGAAACGAAUGCUAAUACCGCAUAACAACUUUAAACAUAAGUUUUAAGUUUGAAAGAUGCAAUUGCAUCACUCAAAGAUGAUCCCGCGUUGUAUUAGCUAGUUGGUGAGGUAAAGGCUCACCAAGGCGAUGAUACAUAGCCGACCUGAGAGGGUGAUCGGCCACAUUGGGACUGAGACACGGCCCAAACUCCUACGGGAGGCAGCAGUAGGGAAUCUUCGGCAAUGGACGAAAGUCUGACCGAGCAACGCCGCGUGAGUGAAGAAGGGUUUCGGAUCGUAAAACUCUGUUGGUAGAGAAGAACGUUGGUGAGAGUGGAAAGCUCAUCAAGUGACGGUAACUACCCAGAAAGGGACGGCUAACUACGUG